CCUACGGGAGGCAGCAGUGGGGAAUAUUGCACAAUGGGGGAAACCCUGAUGCAGCGACGCCGCGUGAGUGAAGACGUAUUUCGGUAUGUAAAGCUCUAUCAGCAGGGAAGAAACUGACGGUACCUGCCUAAGAAGCACCGGCUAACUACGUGCCAGCAGCCGCGGUAAUACGUAGGGGGCAAGCGUUAUCCGGAUUUACUGGGUGUAAAGGGAGCGUAGGUGGCAUGGUAAGCCAGAAGUGAAAACCCAGGGCGCAACUCUGUGGAUUGCUUUUGGAACUCUCAAGCUAGAGUGCUGGAGGGGUAAGCGGAAUGCCUAGUGUAGCGGUGAAAUGCGUAGAUAUUAGGAGGAACACCGGUGGCGAAGGCGGCUUACUGGACAGAAACUGACACUGAGGCUCGAAAGCGUGGGGAGCAAACAGGAUUAGAUACCCCUGUAGCC
rnacentral:rRNA from 1 species